UGGGGGAUAUUGCACAAUGGGGGAAACCCUGAUGCAGCAACGCCGCGUGGGUGAAGGAGCGUUUCGGCGCGUAAAGCCCUGUCAGCGGGGAAGAAGAAAGACGGUACCCGACCAAGAAGCCCCGGCUAACUACGUGCCAGCAGCCGCGGUAAUACGUAGGGGGCGAGCGUUAUCCGGAAUUACUGGGUGUAAAGGGAGCGUAGACGGCGAGGUAAGCCUGAAGUGGAAGCCCGCGGCCCAACCGCGGAACUGCUUUGGGAACUGUUUUGCUGGAGUAUGGGAGGGGUAAGCGGAAUUCCUGGU
rnacentral:rRNA from 1 species